CCGCUGGCUGGUCCAGCGUGGCUACAGCAAGCCGCCGUGCCGCCCUCUCGCCUCCUCUCCUCGCCUUUAAAGCUCGACCGCCCCGCUCCCUCAAACCCUAGCCCCUUUUCCCUGUCCACCACUGUAGCUGCCGCCUCUAUUGCGGCCUCCUGGAGCUCCGUUGCCGGCCUCGAUUCAUCAUAUCCAGCCCUCCCGGCGGAGCUCUGCCCAUGGCCGCCGUCACCCCCAUGGAGCACCGCCGCCGCCGCUCCGUCUCGCCUUUCCAUCGCUGGGUGACCGAAACAUCGGAGAGCGAACCCGUUGAGCCCACCGAAGUUGUCGACCUCGAGCCCGGUGUUGAGCAGUGGUUGAACCUGAGGAAAACCAAGGCAAGUAGCUAAGCAUGAUCCCUUGCACCCAUUUAAAUUGAUGCAAUUUAGUUAUUUCAUUUGGAUAUUAUUGGGUUAUAUAUAUAGUAUGUUAUCUAUUGUAUUCUUGCACCUAUUUUUAUGCAUUGUCAUUCCUUGAUUUGUUUAUCCAUAUCCUUGUUGCACAAUAGUAUUAUUACCUAAUUAAUUUGACUAUAUGCUUAGCUAUGCUUAGAGUUGAUCUACAACUUGUAACAAAUUCUUGGAUUAGGAACACACUACAACCACUUGGUUAUUCUUGAUCGCACAUGUUCGGUUUAAGAUAUGUUGGAAAGGUUGGUUAUGUUGAAAGGUUGAUUUCGUGAUUUGAGCGGAAUGUUAGGGCCUAGAGAAAGGAGUCUCGGAGGCAUAGUCCGCUUGAAUCGAUUAAGGACCGUCCGUGAAUGAUAUUGAUUUUGAGCAACUUAUCGUGCUACCACAUAUCCGAAAUAAUAGAAAUGAUGAGCCAAUUACUUUCUUUGUCGUGGCCCUUGAUGCGCGGUCCUAGAUACGUGGCCAAGGGUGCUAUUCUUGAGAGGCCUAGGAAUGUCCCCGGUGGACCUACACUACUAACUUUUGACCCUAAUGCCACGUUUUUUUUGGCAACGCCAUGAUUUGGUUGGAAUAGGGGGUUGGGAACGGUUGUCGCGAGUACCCCUCAUCCAACGUGAUCAGUUGGAUGAGCCGCAUGGUUCUUGUGUCGUGUGGGUAAAGUAGUACACCCUUGCAAGGUUUAAAUCAAUUCAAAUUGUCGCGCUCUCGGUUAUGAGCAAGUUCUUUGUCCCAUGAAUUCUUCGUAGAAAGUAUCGUUAUGGUGGUAUAUGUUUCAUGGCACUUCUAGAGUCAUUUACUUGGUUUAAUCCUAAUCAAUUAAAAUUUGAGUUGUGGGUUGGGCAAGAAUAAAUAAAUUUUGCUAGAGAGUUAGAUGUUGGUUAGAGAGCUUAUGCUUGUGCAAUAAUAACUUAACCUAAAGUCUUAUCUUGAGCCCCUUGCAUAAUCCUUAUCUAUAUAAUUUGCGUAAGACUUGUGAGUACCUUUUGUACUCAUCUUACUUUUUAAACUAAGUUGCAGGUGAGCCGGAAGUUGUGUUCGGUCGAUGUGGCCGCAAUGGUGCCUUGAACAAGAUGCCAUUGCUUGUUACGCUUUUAUCAUUUUAUCCGUUGUGUAGCAUACCUUUUGUGAGAGCAUAUUGAAACACUAAAAUUUAUUUUUAUAUAUCUUUUAUGUCAUUCGUGAGCCCAAGGCUUGUAAUUUUGAACCCACCUAUGAUGAAUUUGUAAUAAUUAAUUGUUGUACUCUUUUAUGUUUAAAAUUGCUCUUAUGGUU